rnacentral:rRNA from 1 species
CCUACGGGUGGCAGCAGUGGGGAAUAUUGGGCAAUGGGCGCAAGCCUGACCCAGCAACGCCGCGUGAAGGAAGAAGGCUUUCUGGUUGUAAACUUCUUUUGUCAGGGACGAAGCAAGUGACGGUACCUGACGAAUAAGCCACGGCUAACUACGUGCCAGCAGCCGCGGUAAGACGUAGGUGGCAAGCGUUAUCCGGAUUUACUGGGUGUAAAGGGCGUGUAGGCGGGACUGCAAGUCAGAUGUGAAAACCACGGGCUCAACCUGUGGCCUGCAUUUGAAACUGUAGUUCUUGAGUACUGGAGCGGCAGACGGAAUUCAUGGUGUAGCGGUGAAAUGCGUAGAUAUUAGAAGGAACACCAGUGGCGAAGGCGGUCUGCUGGGCAGCAACUGACGCUGAGGCGCGAAAGCGUGGGGAGCAAACAGGAUUAGAUACCCUAGUAGUC